rnacentral:rRNA from 1 species
AAACUGAUCUUCCCGUGAAGAAGCGGGAAUAUACAUAUAAGACGAGAAGACCCCAUGGAGCUUUAAACCCAACAGCACCUAUUCUUUUUAAAUCCACUUAUUCUUAUAGUAAGUGCUUGCUUGGUUUUAGGUUGGGGUGACCGCGGAGUAAAAAUGAGCCUCCACGAAAAAAGGCAUAAAAGCCUUAUCAAAGAAUCACACUUCUAUGAAUUAGUAAACUAAUUUUUGAUGAUCCGAUAUUCGAUCAACGAACCAAGUUACCCUGGGGAUAACAGCGCAAUCCACCUCAAGAGCUCCUAUCGACAAGUGGGUUUACGACCUCGAUGUUGGAUCAGGGUACCCCAGUGGUGCAGCAGCUACUAAAGGUUCGUUUGUUCAACGAUUAAAACCCU